GUCCAGAUGACGAGUCCUAAAUAGGACGAAAUGCGCGCUAUCCUGUAU
rfam:Trichobilharzia regenti genome assembly, scaffold: TRE_scaffold0002139